UGAGGGAUAUUGGUCAAUGGGCGCAAGCCUGAACCAGCGACGCCGCGUGGGUGAAGAAGGUCUUCGGAUCGUAAAGCCCUUUUCCCACUGAAGAGGAAGGACGGUAGGUGGGGAAGAAGUCUCGGCUAACUACGUGCCAGCAGCCGCGGUAAAACGUAGGAGACAAGCGUUAUCCGGAGUUACUGGGCGUAAAGGGCGUGCAGGUGGCGUCUUAAGUCUGUUGUGAAAGCGCCUGGCUUAACCGGGCGAGGCCAAUGGAGACUGAGAGGCUGGAGGACGGCGGAGGGGUGUGGAAUUCCGGGUGUAGUGGUGAAAUGCGUAGAGAUCCGGAGGAACACCAGAGGCGAAGGCGGCACUCUAAGCCGUACCUGACACUGAGACGCGACAGCACGGGGAGCAAACG
rnacentral:rRNA from 1 species